rnacentral:tRNA from 1 species
GCGCCCGUAGUGUAAUGGAUAACACGUUGCCCUCCGGAGGCAAAGAGUGUGGGUUCGACCCCCGCCGGGCGUGCCA